rnacentral:rRNA from 1 species
GCAUAUCAAUAAGCGGAGGAAAAGAAACCAACAGGGAUUGCCUCAGUAACGGCGAGUGAAGCGGCAACAGCUCAAAUUUGAAAUCUGGCUUCGGCCCGAGUUGUAAUUUGUAGAGGAAGAUUCUGGUAAGGCACCAUCUGAGUCCCCUGGAACGGGGCGCCAUAGAGGGUGAGAGCCCCGUAUAGUUGGAUGCCGAGCCUCUGUGAAUCUCCUUCGACGAGUCGAGUAGUUUGGGAAUGCUGCUCUAAAUGGGAGGUAAAUUUCUUCUAAAGCUAAAUAUAGGCCAGAGACCGAUAGCGCACAAGUAGAGUGAUCGAAAGAUGAAAAGCACUUUGAAAAGAGGGUUAAACAGCACGUGAAAUUGUUGAAAGGGAAGCGCUUAUGACCAGACUUGCGCCGUGCGGAUCAUCCGGUGUUCUCACCGGUGCACUCCGCGCGGCUCAGGCCAGCAUCGGUUCUCGUGGGGGGAUAAAGGCUCAGGGAACGUAGCUCCUCCGGGAGUGUUAUAGCCCUGGGUGCAAUGCCCUCGCGGGGACCGAGGUUCGCGCUUCUGCAAGGAUG